UACGGAGGGUGCAAACGUUGCUCGGAGUCAUUGGGCGUAAAGCGCACGUAGGCGGCUCGUUAAGUCGGAUGUGAAAGCCCCGGGCUCAACUCGGGAAGUGCAUUCGAAACUGGCGAGCUUGAAUAUGGAAGAGGGUCGCGGAAUUCCCGGUGUAGAGGUGAAAUUCGUAGAUAUUCGCAAGAACACCGGUGGCGAAGGCGGCCAACUGGACCAUUACUGACGCUGAGGCGCGAAAGCGUGGGGAGCAAACAGGA
rnacentral:rRNA from 1 species